GACAGAGGGUGCAAACGUUGUUCGGAAUUACUGGGCGUAAAGCGAGUGUAGGCGGUGUGGUAAGUCGGAUGUGAAAGCCCCGGGCUCAACCCGGGAAGUGCACUCGAUACUGCCACGCUAGAGUAUCGGAGAGGUUGGUGGAAUUCUCGGUGUGGAGGUGAAAUUCGUAGAUAUCGAGAGGAACACCGGUGGCGAAGGCGGCCAACUGGACGAAUACUGACGCUGAGACUCGAAAGCGUGGGGAGCAAACAGG
rnacentral:rRNA from 1 species